rnacentral:misc_RNA from 1 species
GAGAAGAACGCAGCGAAAUGCGAUAAGUAAUGUGAAUUGCAGAAUUCAGUGAAUCAUCGAAUCUUUGAACGCACAUUGCGCCCGCCAGUAUUCUGGCGGGCAUGCCUGUUCGAGCGUCAUUUCAACCAUCAAGCCCCCGGCUUGUGUUGGGGACCUGCGGCUGCCGCAGGCCCUGAAAACCAGUGGCGGGCUCGCUAGUCACUCCGAGCGUAGUAAUACAUCUCGCUCAGGGCGUGCUGCGGGUUCCGGCCGUUAAAAAGCCUUAUUUACCCAAGGUUGACCUCGGAUCAGGUAGGAAGACCCGCUGAACUUAAGCAUAUCAAUAAGCGGAGGA